GACGAACGCUGGCGGCGUGCUUAACACAUGCAAGUCGAACGGGAGUAUCGAAGAAGCUUGCUUUUAAGAUACUUUAGUGGCGGACGGGUGAGUAACGCGUGAGGAGCUGUCCUAUGCAGGGGGACAACAGUUGGAAACGACUGCUAAUACCCCAUAAGCCGAGAGGUAAAAGGAUUUAUCCGGCAAAGGAGGUACUCGCGUCCUAUCAGCUAGUAGGUGAGGUAACGGCUCACCUAGGCGAAGACGGGUAGCCGGCCUGAGAGGGCGAACGGCCACACUGGAACUGAGAUACGGUCCAGACUCCUACGGGAGGCAGCAGUGGGGAAUAUGGGGCAAUGGGGGCAACCCUGACCCAGCGACGCCGCGUGGGUGAAGAAAUCCUUCGGGAUGUAAAGCCCUGUUGUAUGGGAAGAGCAGAAGACGGUACCAUACGAGGAAGCCCCGGCAAACUACGUGCCAGCAGCCGCAGUAAUAC
rnacentral:rRNA from 1 species